rnacentral:rRNA from 1 species
UACGGGGGGGGCAAGCGUUGUUCGGAAUUACUGGGCGUAAAGGGCGCGUAGGCGGCCUGCUAAGUCGGACGUGAAAUCCCUCGGCUCAACCGGGGAACUGCGUCCGAUACUGGCGGGCUUGAAUCCGGGAGAGGAAUGCGGAAUUCCAGGUGUAGCGGUGAAAUGCGUAGAUAUCUGGAGGAACACCGGUGGCGAAGGCGGCAUCUGGACCGGCAUUGACGCUGAGUGCGCGAAAGCCAGGGGA